rnacentral:lncRNA from 1 species
UCCCCGAUGAUAAAUCAAAAUAUCCAUGCUUCAAUCCAUGAUGGCAAAUCAGAAUAUUCAUGUUUCAACCCAUGGUAGCAAACUUAAAUACCACGUAUCUGUCCAUAGCAAGACUAUUCUCAAUGCCAUGUAUCUGCCUAUGAUAGGCUAUUUUUAGUACCAAUGUAUCUAUCCAUGCAGGCUAUUCUCGAUGUUACAUUUCUGCCCAUGACUAGACUAUUCUCAAUUUAACGUGGCCAGUCCUAACACAUCUUUCUUGAACAUCAAAUCAUUAAAUCUCAAUCAUAUAAUAAAAUAAAAAAUUAUUUCAUAUUAUGUUCUUUUC